rnacentral:sRNA from 1 species
CUCUAGCCCCGAUAGCAGUGAAAAUCCUCUAGACUCGUGACCAAACGAGUCUAGAGAUUGUAGCGGAUAGCGGGACGAUGA